rnacentral:rRNA from 1 species
UCGAGCGGUAACAUUUCUAGCUUGCUAGAAGAUGACGAGCGGCGGACGGGUGAGAAUGCUUGGGAAUAUGCCUUAUGGUGGGGGACAACAGUUGGAAACGACUGCUAAUACCGCAUAAUGUCUACGGACCAAAGGGGGGGAUCUUCGGACCUCCCGCCAUUUGAUUAGCCCAAGUGAGAUUAGCUAGUUGGUAAGGUAAUGGCUUACCAAGGCGACGAUCUCUAGCUGGUUUGAGAGGAUGAUCAGCCACACUGGGACUGAGACACGGCCCAGACUCCUACGGGAGGCAGCAGUGGGGAAUAUUGCACAAUGGGCGAAAGCCUGAUGCAGCCAUGCCGCGUGUGUGAAGAAGGCCUUCGGGUUGUAAAGCACUUUCAGUAAGGAGGAAAGGGUAGUCGUUAAUAGCGGCUAUCUGUGACGUUACUUACAGAAGAAGCACCGGCUAACUUCGUGCCAGCAGCCGCGGUAAUACGAGGGGUGCAAGCGUUAAUCGGAAUUACUGGGCGUAAAGCGUUCGUAGGCGGUUGAAUAAGCAAGAUGUGAAAGCCCAGGGCUCAACCUUGGAACUGCAUUUUUGAACUGUUCGACUAGAGUACUGUAGAGGGUGGUGGAAUUUCCAGUGUAGCGGUGAAAUGCGUAGAGAUUGGAAGGAACAUCAGUGGCGAUGCGGCCACCUGGACAGAUACUGACGCUGAGGAACG